GUACUUUGCUCCUGAUAGACAAUUUCUUCCUUAGCGUAUUCUUCAACUACAGCAGCUGAGCAAUGCAAGGCAAAUGUAGUGCUUGGCUUGGCUCUUCUGGAGUUCCACCUGCAACAGGGAGAUGAUCAAAGUAUCGAAAGUCUGGCCUGAGCUGGGAAAUUCAGUAAUGGAGACUCAAUGAUUUGUUCAGUAGAAACCAGACUGUAUUCAGGUCUCCUCUGAGAUUAGAUGGCAAUGGCUACGGAAAGGAGCAGAGUUGGAAAAUGCUGUCCUUUGUAGCAGUUACUAAGGCAAGGCUCUUGUUUGUGUCCUGAACCCACCAUAUUCCAAGUCAAUAAGCUGUCCAGUGUGUGAGACUGCCACUUGGAAUCUGGAAAAGAAAGGCUCAGUUUCCUCCUCUAUUUGAUCUAUACCAGGGAUUUCCAACUUCCCCGGAGAGGAAUCUUCAACACUGAAAAUGGGAUGUCUUGAAGGAUUCAUGAUCUGCAAUUCCUGCAGCCCUGAGGAUAACUAGUUCAGACAUAAAAAUUAUCUGAUAAACAGCUGAGACAAUUCUCCCUUUGAAGCUGGUUCCAUCUACAGAUGAAUGUGCUGUUGGAAGAAGUACUUUUCCUUCUUUUCCGCUAGUGCUGUGUCCCUCUGCCCCGCGUUCUGCCUGUGUGACCCACCAUAACUCCAGAGUGAAAAGCAAGAUUUUGAACCACUGAUUCAUGGUUGAUGGAUUUGCUCUAUAAAUUUUGUUAUGUUACGGUGGAUUUGGAAAUGGAAACCUUGCAAGCGAGAUAAUUUCAUAUUGCUGUUGUUAUUCUCAUAUACCUCUUUCCCACAGCUUUGAUGGUGUUGUUUUCAGCUAAUGGCAUGCAAUAAAUAUUUUGUGAAAC